rnacentral:rRNA from 1 species
GCUGUGAGCUCGAUGAGUAGGGCGGGACACGUGGUAUCCUGUCUGAAUAUGGGGGGACCAUCCUCCAAGGCUAAAUACUCCUGACUGACCGAUAGUGAACCAGUACCGUGAGGGAAAGGCGAAAAGAACCCCGGCGAGGGGAGUGAAAAAGAACCUGAAACCGUGUACGUACAAGCAGUGGGAGCACGCUUAGGCGUGUGACUGCGUACCUUUUGUAUAAUGGGUCAGCGACUUAUAUUCUGUAGCAAGGUUAACCGAAUAGGGGAGCCGAAGGGAAACCGAGUCUUAACUGGGCGUUAAGUUGCAGGGUAUAGACCCGAAACCCGGUGAUCUAGCCAUGGGCAGGUUGAAGGUUGGGUAACACUAACUGGAGGACCGAACCGACUAAUGUUGAAAAAUUAGCGGAUGACUUGUGGCUGGGGGUGAAAGGCCAAUCAAACCGGGAGAUAGCUGGUUCUCCCCGAAAGCUAUUUAGGUAGCGCCUCGUGAAUUCAUCUCCGGGGGUAGAGCACUGUUUCGGCAAGGGGGUCAUCCCGACUUACCAACCCGAUGCAAACUGCGAAUACCGGAGAAUGUUAUCACGGGAGACACACGGCGGGUGCUAACGUCCGUCGUGAAGAGGGAAACAACCCAGACCGCCAGCUAAGGUCCCAAAGUCAUGGUUAAGUGGGAAACGAUGUGGGAAGGCCCAGACAGCCAGGAUGUUGGCUUAGAAGCAGCCAUCAUUUAAAGAAAGCGUAAUAGCUCACUGGUCGAGUCGGCCUGCGCGGAAGAUGUAACGGGGCUAAACCAUGCAC